rnacentral:rRNA from 1 species
AGUGAAGCGGCAAAAGCUCAAAUUUGAAAUCUGGCUCUUUCAGAGUCCGAGUUGUAAUUUGAAGAAGGUAUCUUUGGGUCUGGCUCUUGUCUAUGUUUCUUGGAACAGAACGUCACAGAGGGUGAGAAUCCCGUGCGAUGAGAUGAUCCAGGCCUAUGUAAAGUUCCUUCGAAGAGUCGAGUUGUUUGGGAAUGCAGCUCUAAGUGGGUGGUAAAUUCCAUCUAAAGCUAAAUAUUGGCGAGAGACCGAUAGCGAACAAGUACAGUGAUGGAAAGAUGAAAAGAACUUUGAAAAGAGAGUGAAAAAGUACGUGAAAUUGUUGAAAGGGAAGGGCUUGAGAUCAGACUUGGUAUUUUGUAUGUUACUUCUUCGGGGGUGGCCUCUACAGUUUAUCGGGCCAGCAUCAGUUUGGGCGGUAGGAGAAUUGCGUUGGAAUGUGGCACGGCUUUGGUUGUGUGUUAUAGCCUUCGUCGAUACUGCCAGCCUAGACUGAGGACUGCGGUUUAUACCUAGGAUGUUGGCAUAAUGAUCUUAAGUCGCCCGUCUUGAAACACGGACC